UACGGAGGGUGCGAGCGUUGUCCGGAAUCACUGGGCGUAAAGGGCGCGUAGGUGGCGCGGGCAGUCAACGGUGAAAGUCCGGGGCUCAACCUCGGAUCGGCCGUGGCGACUCGUGGGCUGGAGCACUGUAGAGGCGGGUGGAAUUCCGGGUGUAGCGGUGGAAUGCGUAGAGAUCCGGAAGAACACCUGUGGCGAAAGCGGCUCACUGGACCAUUACUGACGCUGAGGCACGAAAGCUAGGGGAGCAAACAGG
rnacentral:rRNA from 1 species